rnacentral:rRNA from 1 species
AUUGAACGCUGGCGGCAGGCCUAACACAUGCAAGUCGAACGGUAACAGGAAGCAGCUUGCUGCUUCGCUGACGAGUGGCGGACGGGUGAGUAAUGUCUGGGAAGCUGCCUGAUGGAGGGGGAUAACUACUGGAAACGGUAGCUAAUACCGCAUAAUGUCGCAAGACCAAAGAGGGGGACCUUCGGGCCUCUUGCCAUCGGAUGUGCCCAGAUGGGAUUAGCUUGUUGGUGGGGUAACGGCUCACCAAGGCGACGAUCCCUAGCUGGUCUGAGAGGAUGACCAGCCACACUGGAACUGAGACACGGUCCAGACUCCUACGGGAGGCAGCAGUGGGGAAUAUUGCACAAUGGGCGCAAGCCUGAUGCAGCCAUGCCGCGUGUAUGAAGAAGGCCUUCGGGUUGUAAAGUACUUUCAGCGGGGAGGAAGGGAGUAAAGUUAAUACCUUUGCUCAUUGACGUUACCCGCAGAAGAAGCGCCGGCUAACUCCGUG